rnacentral:rRNA from 1 species
AUGACGACAAGUGUGACCCUUCGGAUGCGCCAAGUUCAUCUACACAAAAACGCCUCAUGUCGGCAAGACCCGCAAGUCGGAUCCCGAACGAUCGACGUCUCGUGGACCGUGUACAACUACCGUCGCCCCGAAGACGUUAGAGCCAUCAAGUAUCUCUUCGAAACGAACGUGAACAACUACCGUCGCAAGAACGGGACUGAAAAGUCCGAAGACCUCAAGUACCACGACACUGAUGACAUGAAUGUCUAUGGAAACUCGUGCAAUGAUAUGUCACAUCCCUGGUCCUGUUAUGCACUAGGCUAG